ACAACCGGCCGCCGAGGGAGACAUGUCGGUGCCCGUCUCGGCGGCGGUGCCCGGCGGCGGGCGGUGAGCUGCCAUGCCGCGCAGGGCGGAGCGGUGCCUGCAGAUCGCCCCGCACUCCCUGGCCAUCGUCCUGGUCGCCGCGGGCGAGCGGGCCGGGGGGCGAGCGGCGGGAGGCGGCGGCGGCGGCGGCGGUGCGGGGCCGGAGCUGGGCCGCCACCGCAUCGGCUACGAGAUCUUCGCCGACUUCAAGCGGGAGAACAUGCAGCACUUCUGGGACAGGAGGGCCACGGCGGCGGUGGCCGAGACCUUCUUCUUGGGCUGGAUCGACGAGCAGGUGCUGCUGGUGCAGGGCAAGGAGGAGCACCUGGAGGUGCUGCGGCAGGGCUGGGCGCGCCGCUCCCUCAGACCCCCCGCCGGCUUCCACAUCAAGUGCCUGGGUCUCCUUGCUUCCCGCGGCCUUUGCAGUGGUGACGGAGAGACAAACUGCCUUUUCCCUGCGCGCAGCUUCCAUCGUCUGCGUCCCACGCAGCGCGCACCUGGACCAGCUCACGGAGUGUAGAGAUGCUCUCUCUGCGCCGGGAGUUUCACAUCCUUAAAACCGGACGCUCCCUGAAAUUUCCUCUGAAGCUCGGUGCUGGAGAACAGGUGGCAAAUCCCGCUCUGGCGAUGGACGAGUUUUCCGCGUUCCACCAAUAUUUAAGAGGAGAGUUGGGUAGUGGACUUGCAUCCUGGCGGGGGUGUGGAUGGAGUUGCUCUUUGUGGCCGGCGAACAAGGGGAUAAAACCUGCCGUGUGUUUCUUCCCACCCAGGGCUCCUGCAUCCUUAUGCCUUUACUUUUGUGACAAAGCGAGGUUCCGAGUGUAUAGAUGGGGGCGACGGGUAGUUCUGGCUGCUCCGUGUAGCUCAUGUGGGCUUUUAGCCUCCAGUUGGGCCAAGGAUGAAGAGCUUUUCAAUGGCCACCAUCGCCUGACGGAGCGUAAGGGUCGGUGUUUGAAUUUUGGGGUCUCCCCCUGCCCAUCGGGCGACAUUCCUCAGCCAGGAGGGCUACGGAAGGGUGCGCUCUGACCUUGACGUUACUGAAGCCAGGCAAGGAAUGUAAACAGGCCUUUGUGGCCCAUUUGAAAAUACGGAAACGCCACUUUUGCUAGAAGUUCUCGUUAAUAAGUAAGCUCGCUGGUGUGUAAA